CCUACGGGCGGCUGCAGUAGGGAAUCUUCCACAAUGGGCGAAAGCCUGAUGGAGCAACGCCGCGUGGGUGAAGAAGGUCUUCGGAUCGUAAAACCCUGUUGUUAGAGAAGAAAGUGCGUGAGCGUAACUGUUCACGUAUCGACGGUCUCUAACCAGAAAGCCACGGCUAACUACGUGCCAGCAGCCGCGGUAAUACGUAGGUGGCAAGCGUUAUCCGGAUUUAUUGGGCGUAAAGGGAACGCAGGCGGUCUUUUAAGUCUGAUGUGAAAGCCUUCGGCUUAACCGGAGUAGUGCAUUGGAAACUGGGAGACGUGAGGGCAGAAGAGGAGAGUGGAACUCGAUGUGUAGCGGGGAAAUGCGUAGAUAUAUGGAAGAACACCAGUGGCGAAAGCGGCUCUCUGGUCUGUAACUGACGCUGAGGUUCGAAAGCGUGGGUAGCAAACAGGAUUAGAUACCCGUGUAGUC
rnacentral:rRNA from 1 species